rnacentral:lncRNA from 1 species
ACUGUCAUUUAUGGAAUCAUUGGCAAUUCCUAGAACAUCUAUUAUGGCACUAAAGUGGUCAGGGUUUUAUAACACUAAUCCAGGAGAGAGAUUAUGGUGGCUCAGACUGGGGGAUGUGGUAUAGGGGAUGGCAAGUGGUCAGAUUCAAGAUAAAUAUGAAGACAUUCCUUACAAAAUCUGCAAACAGAUUGAAUGUGAAGUGUAUUUUAAAAAAAUGAAUAAUUGGCCGGGCGCAGUGGCUCAUGCCUGUAAUCCCAGCACUUUGGGAGGUUGAGGCAGGUGGAUCACAAGGUCAGGAGUUUGAGCCCAGCCUGGCCAAGGUGGUGAAACCCCAUCUCUACUAAAAAUACAAAAAACAAAAUUAGCCGGACGUGGUGGCACACACCUGUAGUCCCAGCUGCUCAGGAGAUGGAGGCUGGAGAAUCACUUGAACCUGGGAGGUGGAGGCUGCAGUGAGCCAAGACUGUGCUGCUGCACUCCAGCCUGGGCGACAGAGCAAGACUCUGUCUCAAAAAAAAAAAAGAAAAGAAAAUUAAAAAAAAAAAGAAUUAUCUGUGUAUUUUUUAUCUUAAACAACUGAGAAUGGUGUCAUUUUUUCCAUUCCUAGAGUUAUUUAGGCCAAAAAAAUCUAGAAUGUUGAAGAGAACAGAUUGGGGUGGGAGAUGCAGGUUAGGGGAUUAAGAGUUCUGUCCUAGAGGGCCGGGUGUG